rnacentral:rRNA from 1 species
CCUACGGGAGGCAGCAGUGGGGAAUUUUGGACAAUGGGCGCAAGCCUGAUCCAGCAAUGCCGCGUGCAGGAUGAAGGCCUUCGGGUUGUAAACUGCUUUUGUACGGAACGAAACGGUCCUUUCUAAUAUAAGGGGCUAAUGACGGUACCGUAAGAAUAAGCACCGGCUAACUACGUGCCAGCAGCCGCGGUAAUACGUAGGGUGCGAGCGUUAAUCGGAAUUACUGGGCGUAAAGCGUGCGCAGGCGGUUAUAUAAGACAGAUGUGAAAUCCCCGGGCUCAACCUGGGACCUGCAUUUGUGACUGUAUAGCUAGAGUACGGUAGAGGGGGAUGGAAUUCCGCGUGUAGCAGUGAAAUGCGUAGAUAUGCGGAGGAACACCGAUGGCGAAGGCAAUCCCCUGGACCUGUACUGACGCUCAUGCACGAAAGCGUGGGGAGCAAACAGGAUUAGAUACCCUGGUAGUCCACGCCCUAAACGAUGUCAACUGGUUGUUGGGUCUUCACUGACUCAGUAACGAAGCUAACGCGUGAAGUUGACCGCCUGGGGAGUACGGCCGCAAGGUUGAAACGUCAAAAGUAGUAAGUUACGGACGUCGUAGGACGACGUCGACCGACGGACCGACGACGGGAGGGAGGUUAGG